GGGUUGUGAGGUUAAGCGACUAAGCGUACACGGUGGAUGCCCUGGCAGUCAGAGGCGAUGAAGGACGUGCUAAUCUGCGAUAAGCGCCGGUAAGGUGAUAUGAACCGUUAUAACCGGCGAUUUCCGAAUGGGGAAACCCAGUGUGACUCGUCACACUAUCAUUAACUGAAUCCAUAGGUUAAUGAGGCGAACCGGGGGAACUGAAACAUCUAAGUACCCCGAGGAAAAGAAAUCAACCGAGAUUCCCCCAGUAGCGGCGAGCGAACGGGGAGGAGCCCAGAGCCUGAAUCAGCAUGUGUGUUAGUGGAAGCGUCUGGAAAGGCGCGCGAUACAGGGUGACAGCCCCGUACACAAAAGCGCACAUGCUGUGAGCUCGAUGAGUAGGGCGGGACACGUGGUAUCCUGUCUGAAUAUGGGGGGACCAUCCUCCAAGGCUAAAUACUCCUGACUGACCGAUAGUGAACCAGUACCGUGAGGGAAAGGCGAAAAGAACCCCGGCGAGGGGAGUGAAAAAGAACCUGAAACCGUGUACGUACAAGCAGUGGGAGCACCCUUUGGGGUGUGACUGCGUACCUUUUGUAUAAUGGGUCAGCGACUUAUAUUCUGUAGCAAGGUUAACCGAAUAGGGGAGCCGGAGGGAAACCGAGUCUUAAUUGGGCGUUAAGUUGCAGGGUAUAGACCCGAAACCCGGUGAUCUAGCCAUGGGCAGGUUGAAGGUUGGGUAACACUAACUGGAGGACCGAACCGACUAAUGUUGAAAAAUUAGCGGAUGACCUGUGGCUGGGGGUGAAAGGCCAAUCAAACCGGGAGAUAGCUGGUUCUCCCCGAAAGCUAUUUAGGUAGCGCCUCGUGAAUUCAUCUCCGGGGGUAGAGCACUGUUUCGGCUAGGGGGCCAUCCCGGCUUACCAACCCGAUGCAAACUGCGAAUACCGGAGAAUGUUAUCACGGGAGACACACGGCGGGUGCUAACGUCCGUCGUGAAGAGGGAAACAACCCAGACCGCCAGCUAAGGUCCCAAAGUCAUGGUUAAGUGGGAAACGAUGUGGGAAGGCCCAGACAGCCAGGAUGUUGGCUUAGAAGCAGCCAUCAUUUAAAGAAAGCGUAAUAGCUCACUGGUCGAGUCGGCCUGCGCGGAAGAUGUAACGGGGCUAAACCAUGCACCGAAGCUGCGGCAGCGAACGUAUCACUUAAAGCGAUUCAGCGGGUUACGAUUGACGGAGCGAAGCGACGUCAAAGCGUAUACAAAGUCGAGUCGGUUUAAGGAUACGUUCGUUGGGUAGGGGAGCGUUCUGUAAGCCUGCGAAGGUGGCCUGUGAGGGUUGCUGGAGGUAUCAGAAGUGCGAAUG
rnacentral:rRNA from 1 species